rnacentral:rRNA from 1 species
CGUAUCACCCAAGACAACUUUACGGAGUUGACGAUUGACGGAGCGAAGCGACGUCAAAGCGUUCAUUAAAGUCGAGUUGGCUUAGGGAUACGUUCGUUGGGUAGGGGAGCGUUCUGUAAGCCUGUGAAGGUGGCCUGUGAGGGUUGCUGGAGGUAUCAGAAGUGCGAAUGCUGACAUAAGUAACGAUAAAGCGGGUGAAAAGCCCGCUCGCCGGAAGACCAAGGGUUCCUGUCCAACGUUAAUCGGGGCAGGGUGAGUCGACCCCUAAGGCGAGGCCGAAAGGCGUAGUCGAUGGGAAACGGGUUAAUAUUCCCGUACUUGGUGUUACUGCGAAGGGGGGACGGAGAAGGCUAUGUUGGCCGGGCGACGGUUGUCCCGGUUUAAGCGUGUAGGUGUGUGUUCCAGGUAAAUCCGGUUCACUUUAACACUGAGGCGUGAUGACGAGGCACUACGGUGCUGAAGCAACAAAUGCCCUGCUUCCAGGAAAAGCCUCUAAGCAUCAGGUAACAUCAAAUCGUACCCCAAACCGACACAGGUGGUCAGGUAGAGAAUACCAAGGCGCUUGAGAGAACUCGGGUGAAGGAACUAGGCAAAAUGGUGCCGUAACUUCGGGAGAAGGCACGCUGACACGUAGGUGAAGUGAUUUACUCAUGGAGCUGAAGUCAGUCGAAGAUACCAGCUGGCUGCAACUGUUUAUUAAAAACACAGCACUGUGCAAACACGAAAGUGGACGUAUACGGUGUGACGCCUGCCCGGUGCCGGAAGGUUAAUUGAUGGGGUCAGCGCAAGCGAAGCUCCUGAUCGAAGCCCCGGUAAACGGCGGCCGUAACUAUAACGGUCCUAAGGUAGCGAAAUUCCUUGUCGGGUAAGUUCCGACCUGCACGAAUGGCGUAAUGAUGGCCAGGCUGUCUCCACCCGAGACUCAGUGAAAUUGAACUCGCUGUGAAGAUGCAGUGUACCCGCGGCAAGACGGAAAGACCCCGUGAACCUUUACUAUAGCUUGACACUGAACAUUGAGCCUUGAUGUGUAGGAUAGGUGGGAGGCUUUGAAGCGUGGACGCCAGUCUGCGUGGAGCCGACCUUGAAAUACCACCCUUUAAUGUUUGAUGUUCUAACGUGGACCCGU